rnacentral:rRNA from 1 species
UACGUAGGGGGCAAGCGUUGUCCGGAAUCAUUGGGCGUAAAGAGCGUGUAGGCGGUCCGUUAAGUCGGCUGUGAAAGUCCAGGGCUCAACCCUGGGAUGCCGGUCGAUACUGCCGGACUAGAGUUCGGAAGAGGCGAGUGGAAUUCCCGGUGUAGCGGUGAAAUGCGCAGAUAUCGGGAGGAACACCUAUGGCGAAGGCAGCUCGCUGGGACGUUACUGACGCUGAGACGCGAAAGCGUGGGGAGCAAACAGG